UACGUAGGGUGCGAGCGUUGUCCGGAAUUAUUGGGCGUAAAGAGCUCGUAGGCGGUUUGUCGCGUCGAUCGUGAAAACUUGGGGCUUAACCCUGAGCUUGCGGUCGAUACGGGCAUGACUGGAGUUCGGCAGGGGAGACUGGAAUUCCUGGUGUAGCGGUGAAAUGCGCAGAUAUCAGGAGGAACACCGGUGGCGAAGGCGGGUCUCUGGGCCGAUACUGACGCUGAGGAGCGAAAGCGUGGGGAGCGAACAGG
rnacentral:rRNA from 1 species